rnacentral:rRNA from 1 species
GAUGAACGCUGGCGGCGUGCCUAAUACAUGCAAGUAGAACGCUGAAGGAAGGAGCUUGCUCUUUCCGGAUGAGUUGCGAACGGGUGAGUAACGCGUAGGUAACCUGCCUGGUAGCGGGGGAUAACUAUUGGAAACGAUAGCUAAUACCGCAUAACAGUAGAUGUUGCAUGAUAUCUACUUAAAAGGUGCAAUUGCACCACUACCAGAUGGACCUGCGUUGUAUUAGCUAGUUGGUGAGGUAACGGCUCACCAAGGCGACGAUACAUAGCCGACCUGAGAGGGUGAUCGGCCAAACUGGGAAUGGGACACCGCCCAGACUCCUAAGGGAAGCAGCAGUAGGGGAUCUUCGGCAAUGGACGGAAGGCUGACCGAACAACGCCGCGUGAGUGAAGAAGGGUUUCGGAUCGUAAAGCUCUGUUGUAAGAGAAGAACGGGUGUGAGAGUGAAAAGUUCACACUGUGACGGUAUCUUACCAGAAAGGGACGGCUAACUACGUG